GACGAACGCUGGCGGCGUGCUUAACACAUGCAAGUCGAACGGAAAGGCCCUGCUUUUGUGGGGUGCUCGAGUGGCGAACGGGUGAGUAACACGUGAGUAACCUGCCCUUGACUUUGGGAUAACUUCAGGAAACUGGGGCUAAUACCGGAUAGGAGCUCCUGCUGCAUGGUGGGGGUUGGAAAGUUUCGGCGGUUGGGGAUGGACUCGCGGCUUAUCAGCUUGUUGGUGGGGUAGUGGCUUACCAAGGCUUUGACGGGUAGCCGGCCUGAGGGUGACCGGCCACAUUGGGACUGAGAUACGGCCCAGACUCCUACGGGAGGCAGCAGUGGGGAAUAUUGCACAAUGGGCGGAAGCCUGAUGCAGCAACGCCGCGUGCGGGAUAACGGCCUUCGGGUUGUAAACCGCUUUCGCCUGUGACGAAGCGUGAGUGACGGUAAUGGGUAAAGAAGCACCGGCUAACUACGUG
rnacentral:rRNA from 1 species